CCAACAACAUGUGGACACUUGCCACACAACAAGCUCUACAAACUUUUGUUGUUCUUUAAUUUUCAUAUAAUAAUAAUAAGAAGAAGAAGAAGAAAUCUCCGAGUCGGUUAAAGAAAGACUAAACUUAGCUUCUCCUUAAUUGCUUUCUCUCAUCCUUUGUUGGUUAAAGACACUUAUGAUUACUUAUUUUCUCCAACAUUCUUCUGGACCGUAGCUCCUAAAUUCUAAAGUUUUGUUCUCCUUAUUUUCCUGGGAUAGCGAUUUCUGUUUUGGCUUUUGGAUUUGAGAUCUAGAAGUGAGUUUUAGACUAGCAGAUCUGGAGCAUCGAUCAUAGGACAUCGACCACGUGGUAUCGACGAAGCUGGGGAGAGAACUCAGAUUGAAGGGGCUGAUGAGAAAGUUGCAGAUCUAAAGCAUUGACCACAAAGCUAUAUGAGGGGCUAAUGAUGGUGGAUCUCAUGUUGUCAGGGGUCGACAACCAUGGAAGGAAGAUUUUACCUAGGUUUACCACUAGAUGAGGUCGACGCCGACUGGGUAACGUGGGUUCGUCUAGGAGAGGUCGAUGAGAUCUGACAGUGGGCGGCGUAGCAGGGGUUCAGAUCUAAGACAAUUCGGAGGUGUGGUUUCAAGACAAUGACGACACCCUCGACAUUUAGAUCUUAGCUUUAGAUCUGCGACUAUUUGUAAGGGAUGCCGGCUAGGGAGAAGAGGUUGGGGCUGGGGUCGGGGUCGGGGUCGGGGUCGGGGUCGGGGUCGGGGUCAGGGCUAGAAUCAAUAUUGUUGAAAGACUAAUUGCUCUUAAAUCUGCCAUCAUCUUGUUUUUGCUCAUUGUUCUUAUUUUCUGGUGUUUGGUUCAUUCUGAGUUUUCGCUCAUUAUUUUUUGUUUUUGAAUCCGACAGUUUGAAUCUGAACAAUUUAUGAAUCUAAGUUUUCUUCUUUGGGAUUU